UCCCCGGUGGCUCAGACGGUAAAGCGUCUGCCUGCAAUGCAGGAGGCCCAGGUUAGAUCCCUGGGCCGAGAA
rfam:Ovis aries breed Texel chromosome 6, whole genome shotgun sequence.